GCACUGCCGAAGAGUCCCACAAUAGGACGAAACGGCCGGCCCGGGCCUCCAGGGCACAAUAGGACGAAACGGCCGUCCAGUGC
rnacentral:hammerhead_ribozyme from 1 species